rnacentral:rRNA from 1 species
GGAAGGGGUGUAUUUAUUAGAUAAAAAACCAAUGCCCUUCGGGGCUCCUUGGUGAUUCAUAAUAACUUAACGAAUCGCAUGGCCUUGCGCCGGCGAUGGUUCAUUCAAAUUUCUGCCCUAUCAACUUUCGAUGGUAAGAUAGUGGCUUACCAUGGUCUCAACGGGUAACGGGGAAUUAGGGUUCUAUUCCGGAGAGGGAGCCUGAGAAACGGCUACCACAUCCAAGGAAGGCAGCAGGCGCGCAAAUUACCCAAUCCCAAUUCGGGGAGGUAGUGACAAUAAAUACUGAUACGGGGCUCUUUCGGGUCUCGUAAUUGGAAUGAGUACAAUCUAAAUCCCUUAACGAGGAACAAUUGGAGGGCAAGUCUGGCGCCAGCAGCCGCGGUAAUUCCAGCUCCAAUAGCGUAUAUUAAAGUUGUUGCCGUUAAAAAGCUCGUAGUUGAACCUUGGACCUGGCUGAUCUGUCCUCCUAAUCGAGCGCACGGAUUCGGUCGGGUCUUUCCUUCUGGGGAGCCCUAUGCCCUUCACUGGGUGUAGUGGGGAACCAGGACUUUUAC